rnacentral:rRNA from 1 species
UUUAAGCUUUGUCUGCUUCUGGAUCAGAUAUUGGGCGUAAGAGCUCGUAGGCGGUUUGUCGCGUCUGCUGUGAAAUCCGGAGGCUCAACCUCCGGCCUGCAGUGGGUACGGGCAGACUAGAGUGCGGUAGGGGAGAUUGGAAUUCCUGGUGUAGCGGUGGAAUGCGCAGAUAUCAGGAGGAACACCGAUGGCGAAGGCAGAUCUCUGGGCCGUAACUGACGCUGAGGAGCGAAAGGGUGGGGAGCAAACAGGCUUAGAUACCCUGGUAGUCCACCCCGUAAACGUUGGGAACUAGUUGUGGGGUCCAUUCCACGGAUUCCGUGACGCAGCUAACGCAUUAAGUUCCCCGCCUGGGGAGUACGGCCGCAAGGCUAAAACUCAAAGGAAUUGACGGGGACCCGCACAAGCGGCGGAGCAUGCGGAUUAAUUCGAUGCAACGCGAAGAACCUUACCAAGGCUUGACAUAUACGAGAACGGGCCAGAAAUGGUCAACUCUUUGGACACUCGUAAACAGGUGGUGCAUGGUUGUCGUCAGCUCGUGUCGUGAGAUGUUGGGUUAAGUCCCGCAACGAGCGCAACCCUCGUUCUAUGUUGCCAGCACGUAAUGGUGGGAACUCAUGGGAUACUGCCGGGGUCAACUCGGAGGAAGGUGGGGAUGACGUCAAAUCAUCAUGCCCCUUAUGUCUUGGGCUUCACGCAUGCUACAAUGGCCGGUACAAAGGGCUGCAAUACCGCGAGGUGGAGCGAAUCCCAAAAAGCCGGUCCCAGUUCGGAUUGAGGUCUGCAACUCGACCUCAUGAAGUCGGAGUCGCUAGUAAUCGCAGAUCAGCAACGCUGCGGUGAAUACGUUCCCGGGUCUUGUACACACCGCCCGUCAAGUCAUGAAAGUCGGUAACACCUGAAGCCGGUGGUCUACCUCUUGUGGAGGGAGCCGUCGAAGGUGGGCAUCGGUAAUUAGGACUAAGUCGUACCAGGCUAGCCA